GAUGAACGCUGGCGGCGUGCCUAAUACAUGCAAGUCGAGCGAACGGACGAGAAGCUUGCUUUUCUGAUGUUAGCGGCGGACGGGUGAGUAACACGUGGAUAACCUACCUAUAAGACUGGGAUAACUUCGGGAAACCGGAGCUAAUACCGGAUAAUAUUUUGAACCGCAUGGUUCAAAAGUGAAAGACGGUCUUGCUGUCACUUAUAGAUGGAUCCGCGCUGCAUUAGCUAGUUGGUAAGGUAACGGCUUACCAAGGCAACGAUGCAUAGCCGACCUGAGAGGGUGGACCGCCACACUGGAACCGGGGCAAGGUCCAGGCUCCUACGGGAGGGCACAGGAGGGAAUCUUUCGGAAUGGGCGGAAACCUGACCGAGGCACGGCGCGGGAGGUAAGAAGGUCUUCGGGUCCGAAAACUUUGUUUUUAGGGAAGAACCAAUUGGGAAGGAACCGGUCACCUCUUGGCGGUACCUAAUUAAAAAACCACGGGUUACUUCCGG
rnacentral:rRNA from 1 species